rnacentral:ncRNA from 1 species
CUACCUUCAUCCGGGUUUAUUGAUCCCUUCGUAUUUUAUGUCAAAUUUUAAAAAGCAAUAUCACUGGGAGUCAUAGAACUUGCGUUUGAUAUUUAGUUUGAUGCUAAAACUUUGAAAAUACGGAUUUAUGGUCACCUAACUUAACCACGCGUGCAAAUACAGUAAAAAAAAGUAUGCAGACGUAUCAGGGUGCAUGGCCCCAUUUGUCAGUGAGUGGUGGCGCUCGGUUAACUUGUUUUUGCAUGAAACACCCUCAAAUAAAUUUUUUAUUUGCGGAAAAAGCCAAUCACUAUACUGCAUAUAGGUAUGAAAAUUAACAAAGAAAAAUAAGGGCGCUGGAUGUCGAUCAGGUGACCCACCAUUUUACGGUAAAAGCUAUUCUUGCCAGCCAACCGGUGCGCCUCCAGCGGCCCAUGAAAAUCCGGAGGAUCGAGUACCGUUCACGCCCGGCCGUACUCAUAACUGCAUCAGGUCUCCAAGGUGAACAACCUCUGGCCAAUGGAACAAUGUAGGCAAGGUAAAUCAGCAAAACGGAUCCGUAACUUCGGGAAAAUGAUUGGCUCUGAGGACUGGCUCGGGGGUCCCGGCCGCAAACCCGUCGGCUGUCGGCGGAUUGCUCAAGCUGCUCACGCGACGAGAGCGGGGCGCCGCAUGUCGGCCGGGGGGCGGGCCGGGGAUCGCCCCC